rnacentral:misc_RNA from 1 species
AACGCACGAGACCUGCGGACCUGCGGAGGGAUCAUUACUGAGUUUUGGGUGUUCUCUUUGACGCCCGAUCUCCCACCCUUUGUUGAACUACAAUUGUUGCUUUGGCAGGACUGUUCUUUUCUCUUUGGGAGAGGACUGCCGGAGGUUGGAUUUCUGACCUCUGGAGCGUUUGCCUGCCAGUAGCCAACUUCAAAUUCUUUUAUUAAUUAUGUCGUCUGAAUUCUUUAAAUAAAAUGAUUA